rnacentral:ncRNA from 1 species
GUAAGUUUGACUCUUGCUUUAAUUUUCGUUAUAAAUUUAUAUAAUAUAUGCAAAUUUUAGUUUGAUUUUUUUCUAUCGUUAUUUAAUAUUAUGAUUUUGAUUUUAUAGAAAUAAAAAAUGUAAUGAAUAUUUGAGUGCAGUAUUAAAUUUUUGUUUAUGAAUUAAUUAGUGAAAACUAGAACAAGUAAAAUUAUAAAAAUCUGGUUAAAACUUGUGCCAGCAGCCGCGGUUAUACUAGAAGGUUGAAUGAAAAUUGUUUAGAUUAGUAGUUAAUUGAUAACCAUAAGUUGUUAAUAAUCAUUUUGUCAAAAGGUGAAAUUUGUAGGAUAUAGAAUGAGUAGUGUUUAGAGAUAACUUAUUAUUUGGUAAAUGAUGAGGCUAUUAAAUUUUAGAUAUAAACCAGGAUUAGAUACCCUGUUAUACUAAAUUAAAAAAUAUAUAAAUCUUGAGUAGUAAAAAUGAAUUAAUUUAAAAUUCAAAGAGUUUGGCGGUAUUUUAGUCCUGUUAGAGGAAUCUGUUUUAUAAACGAUAACCCCCGUAAUAUCUUUCUUAUUUUGGUUUUAGCUAGUAUACCAUCAUUAUUAGAUAAUUUUGUUAUUGAUAGAAAUUAUUGUAAUUAAUUGUGUUAAAUAUAUUAGAUCAUGGUGCUGUUUAUAGAUAAGUAAAAAUGGAUUACAAUAAAUUUAAUUUAUAACGGAUCUAUCAAAUGAAAAUUUUUGUAGUGAAGGUGGAUUUAAUAGUAAUAUAAGUUUAAUAAGUUUAUAUGAGAUUGGCUCUAAAAUGUGUACAUAUUGCCCGUCGCUUUCAUUCUUAAAUGAGAUAAGUCGUAACAUAGUAGGAGUACUGGAAAGUGUUUCUAGAAA